rnacentral:rRNA from 1 species
UACGUAGGGUGCGAGCGUUGCCCGGAUUUAUUGGGCGUAAAGGGCGCGUAGGCGGCUGGGCACGUCCGUUGUGAAAUCGCCCGGCUCAACUGGGCGGGGUCAGCGGAUACGGUCGAGCUUGAGCAAGCUAGGGGGCAAUGGAAUUCCCGGUGUAGUGGUGGAAUGCGUAGAUAUCGGGAGGAACACCAGUGGCGAAGGCGGCUACCUGGACCGGUUCUGACGCUGAGGCGCGAAAGCGUGGGUAGCAAACAGG